UUGCUAUGACGGGUAUCCGGCCUGAGAGGGUGAACGGACACACUGGAACUGAGACACGGUCCAGACUCCUACGGGAGGCACGCAGUAGGGAAUAUUGCUCACGUAUGGGGGAAACCCUGAAGCAGCAACGCCGCGUGGAGGAUGAAGGUUUUAGGAUUGUAAACUCCUUUUGUUAGAGAAGAUAAUGACGGUAUCUAACGAAUAAGCACCGGCUAACUCCGUGCCAGCAGCCGCGGUAAUACGGAGGGUGCAAGCGUUACUCGGAAUCACUGGGCGUAAAGAGCGCGUAGGCGGGAUAGUCAGUCAGGUGUGAAAUCCUAUGGCUUAACCAUAGAACUGCAUUGAAAACUACUAUUCUAGAGUGUGGGAGAGGUAGGUGGAAUUCUUGGUGUAGGGGUAAAAUCAAC
rnacentral:rRNA from 1 species